rnacentral:rRNA from 1 species
CCUACGUGAGUGCAGCAGUGGGGAAUAUUGGACAAUGGGCGAAAGCCUGAUCCAGCCAUGCCGCGUGUGUGAAGAAGGCCUUCGGGUUGUAAAGCACUUUCAGUGGGGAAGAAAGCCUUGGGGCUAAUACCCUCGAGGAAGGACAUCACCCACAGAAGAAGCACCGGCUAACUCCGUGCCAGCAGCCGCGGUAAUACGGAGGGUGCGAGCGUUAAUCGGAAUUACUGGGCGUAAAGCGCGCGUAGGCGGUCUGAUAAGCCGGUUGUGAAAGCCCCGGGCUCAACCUGGGAACGGCAUCCGGAACUGUCAGGCUAGAGUGCAGGAGAGGAAGGUGGAAUUCCCGGUGUAGCGGUGAAAUGCGUAGAGAUCGGGAGGAAUACCAGUGGCGAAGGCGGCCUUCUGGACUGACACUGACGCUGAGGUGCGAAAGCGUGGGUAGCAAACAGGAUUAGAUACCCGGGUAGUC